AACGAACGCUGGCGGCAGGCCUAACACAUGCAAGUCGAACGCCCUAGCAAUAGGGAGUGGCGCACGGGUGCGUAACGCGUGGGAAUAUGCCCUUCACUGCGGAAUAACGUUUGGAAACGAACGCUAAUACCGCAUAAUGACUCCGGUCCAAAGAUUUAUCGGUGAAGGAUUAGCCCGCGUUAGAUUAGCUAGUUGGUGAGGUAAUGGCUCACCAAGGCGACGAUCUAUAGCUGGUCUGAGAGGAUGAUCAGCCACACUGGGACUGAGACACGGCCCAGACUCCUACGGGAGGCAGCAGUGAGGAAUAUUGGACAAUGGGCGCAAGCCUGAUCCAGCCAUGCCGCGUGAGUGAAGAAGGCCUUCGGGUUGUAAAGCUCUUUCAGAUGUGAAGAUAAUGACGGUAGCAUCAGAAGAAGACCCCGGCUAAAUUCGUGCCAGCAGCCGCGGUAA
rnacentral:rRNA from 1 species